GAGGAAUAUUGCACAAUGGAGGAAACUCUGAUGCAGCAACGCCGCGUGGAGGAUGACGCAUUUCGGUGUGUAAACUCCUUUUAAGAGGGAAGAUUAUGACGGUACCUCUUGAAUAAGCACCGGCUAACUCCGUGCCAGCAGCCGCGGUAAUACGGAGGGUGCAAGCGUUACUCGGAAUCACUGGGCGUAAAGGGUGCGUAGGCUGACUUUUAAGUCAGGUGUGAAAUCCAAUGGCUUAACCAUUGAACUGCACUUGAAACUGGGAGUCUAGAGUUCAGAAGGGGCAGAUGGAAUUAGUGGUGUAGGGGUAAAAUCCGUAGAUAUCACUAGGAAUAUCAAAAGCGAAGGCGAUCUGCUGGGAUGAUACUGACGCUGAGGCACGAAAGCGUGGGGAGCAAAC
rnacentral:rRNA from 1 species